rnacentral:lncRNA from 1 species
GUUAGCAAUCAUUUUUAAAACCCGCAUAAUUGUCAGGAUUUGCACGCCAACUAAGAGUGAGAAAGAAAUCAGGGUGGGCAGUUAAAGGAUUGAGGCUUAGGCAUGGAUCUGCCCAUACAUCGGUUGAGGUGGGAGCUUUUUGGAAGGAAAAGCUUAGCAGAUUUUAGCGCUGUUGGGCUCGGGUUUUGUAGAAGAAUUCGAAUCAAAUGUUAACAGAAAAUGGU